AGUGAACGCUGGCGGUAGGCCUAACACAUGCAAGUCGAACGGCAGCACAGUAAGAGCUUGCUCUUACGGGUGGCGAGUGGCGGACGGGUGAGGAAUACAUCGGAAUCUACUUUUUCGUGGGGGAUAACGUAGGGAAACUUACGCUAAUACCGCAUACGACCUACGGGUGAAAGCAGGGGAUCUUCGGACCUUGCGCGAUUGAAUGAGCCGAUGUCGGAUUGGCUAGUUUGCGGGGUAAAGGCCCACCAAGGCGACGAUCCGUAGCUGGUCUGAGAGGAUGAUCAGCCACACUGGAACUGAGACACGGUCCAGACUCCUACGGGAGGCAGCAGUGGGGAAUAUUGGACAAUGGGCGCAAGCCUGAUCCAGCCAUACCGCGUGGGUGAAGAAGGCCUUCGGGUUGUAAAGCCCUUUUGUUGGGAAAGAAAAGCAGCAGGUUAAUACCCCGCUGUUCUGACGGUACCCAAAGAAUAAGCACCGGCUAACUUCGUG
rnacentral:rRNA from 1 species